CAAACGGCUCUUUUCAGAGCCACCCAUUCUAACGAUGAUACGCUUG
rfam:Helobdella robusta unplaced genomic scaffold HELROscaffold_24, whole genome shotgun sequence.